rnacentral:rRNA from 1 species
AGUGAGCGCUGGCGGUAGGCCUAACACAUGCAAGUCGAACGGCAGCACAGUAAGAGCUUGCUCUUACGGGUGGCGAGUGGCGGACGGGUGAGGAAUACAUCGGAAUCUACUUUUUCGUGGGGGAUAACGUAGGGAAACUUACGCUAAUACCGCAUACGACCUACGGGUGAAAGCAGGGGAUCUUCGGACCUUGCGCGAUUGAAUGAGCCGAUGUCGGAUUAGCUAGUUGGCGGGGUAAAGGCCCACCAAGGCGACGAUCCGUAGCUGGUCUGAGAGGAUGAUCAGCCACACUGGAACUGAGACACGGUCCAGACUCCUACGGGAGGCAGCAGUGGGGAAUAUUGGACAAUGGGCGCAAGCCUGAUCCAGCCAUACCGCGUGGGUGAAGAAGGCCUUCGGGUUUUAAAGCCCUUUUGUUGGGAAAGAAAAGCAGCAGGUUAAUACCCCGCUGUUCUGACGGUACCCAAAGAAUAAGCACCGGCUAACUUCGUG